AUGCCUGGCCAUUACUUGGUGUCAUCCUCAGCCACUGCUUCUGGCAGUGUCAUCCAUUGGCUCUGUGGUACUUUGGAACAAAUGUCGCUCACCCAUGUUGCCACAUUGCAUAUUGAAAAUAUGGGGCUGUCAUACCUGGAGCUCCCACCCGAAGCAAAGCACAUCAAGAUACCAGUGCUGGCGAAUUCAGCAGAUGGGGGGAUUCUGCUGCUCUUCAUGCAAGGCCUUGAGAUGUCACUCUGGAAACACACCAGUGCGCUUGGCAGUGACAGCAGCAGCAGCUGGGUGCUUUCUGAAAGGAUUGACAUGAGUAGUUCCUUGCCUCAGCGGGUGGCUACGCUGGGUAGCCGGGCAAAGGUCAGGUUGGAGAUGUUUGGAGGCAAGAGCGGGGUGGUGGUGGUCAGGGUUGUUGGAGAAGGCCUCUUUCUGUUCAGCCUCAGUGAUGGGUCGAUGAGGGAGAUUGACAGUGCGCAUGUGACCAAGGAUUACUUCCUCUGCCCAUAUGAAAUUGACUGGCUGUCCUGCCUCGCAAUCACAAACCUCGUCGUGGAUGGCUCGUUGUCGCAGGACGUAGAAAGGAAAAAGGCUCAAGAUAGAUGGAGGACAUUAAUGAGAAUGAAUUUGGUGACGAACGGAGCAUCUUAA
rnacentral:rRNA from 1 species